rnacentral:lncRNA from 1 species
AUAGUUUUAUGGAUGAGGUCGUGUACCCUCAAAGCAUUUCAUUCGAUUAAUCCAAUUGUUGAGACAUGAAAGAGUUGAUCUCUCAGCCGUUGGAUUGUAUGGGUUGGGAACUGGAGAGGAUUCUAGGUGGUAUUAUUAAUUUAUUACACGAGGCUAUAUGAGAUGUAUAUAGCUUUAAGACAAACCCCUUUUGUCACCUUGCAAUAAUUCUCCAAUCUUUACGAGGAUUUUCAAGACACUCUAUAAAAGGGUGACCACUUUCUAAGACAAACCUGGCGCUAUCCACCCACAGAUCUUGAAAUUCUAAUCAUCAGAUCACUUACACGAGCAGAUAAGGAUGGUUUGGAGACAAGGAUUACUUUUGAGUUUGAUUAAGGUCAUGUUUGGUGGAUAUAUAGUGGAAAAGUCUAUUAGAAAAAAAUCAUUCAUGUGCUUGUAAAAUUUUGCUCAGACGCUACUUUUCGCCAUCAAAGUUCUGUUUGCUAAAAAUAACAUAUUGUUGUUAAGUUGUUUAUAGAGGAUGGUCAGUUUAUAGCGGCUAACUUGUAAAUUAAUUUAUAAUUUAUAAUUUAAAAUAGCGGAUAAGUUAACUAAUCAUGCAAAACCCUCAUAUUAGGUGACAGAGUUCGAGCAUGCAAAGCC